CCUACGGGAGGCAGCAGUGGGGAAUAUUGCACAAUGGGGGAAACCCUGAUGCAGCGACGCCGCGUGAGUGAAGAAGUAUUUCGGUACGUAAAGCUCUAUCAGCAGGGAAGAAAAUGACGGUACCUGACUAAGAAGCCCCGGCUAACUACGUGCCAGCAGCCGCGGUAAUACGUAGGGGGCAAGCGUUAUCCGGAUUUACUGGGUGUAAAGGGAGCGUAGACGGCAGCGCAAGUCUGGAGUGAAAUCCCAUGGCUUAACCAUGGAACUGCUUUGGAAACUGUGCAGCGAGAGUGCAGGAGAGGUAAGCGGAAUUCCUAGUGUAGCGGUGAAAUGCGUAGAUAUUAGGAGGAACACCAGUGGCGAAGGCGGCUUACUGGACUGUAACUGACGUUGAGGCUCGAAAGCGUGGGGAGCAAACAGGAUUAGAUACCCGAGUAGUC
rnacentral:rRNA from 1 species